rnacentral:lncRNA from 1 species
CGGGCGGUGGGCUUACAACACCAAACCCAAAUGGAAAAAGUUGGUGCAUUUCAGAUGACACAAAAAGACAAGAAAAGAAAACAGGGGAUUAUGUGUUUUUAAAGAUUUUAUCAGAGGAAUGAAGAUUUUGUGAAUAUUCUACACUUCAUCCUACAUAGUUUUAUCAACAAUUUGCAUGAUUCUUAGUUAUAAUUUUCCAAGCUCUAGAGGCAAAAUGCCACGACCAAAGAUUAGCCAUCAUGGAAUGCAAUUGUUCAUAAAAGACAUCAUACAGUGGUCGUACAUUUAGAGCCACCCUGAGUAUCAUCUAGCUCUGGAGGAAGAGAAAUACAAUAUCAACGCUACAACAUUAAUCUACUCGGUAGAGCUGUACUCAAAAGUACAAUCAUAGCUCUUCCUUAAAAAAUGAAAUAAACUUGUAUAUUUCUGCCUAAGGAUGGACCGAAAUAGGAGUAAAUUGAAGGAUUGGAAAUUCCAGGCAGUUCCAACAAGGAAGACACAUGGAAUGAUCAAGAGGCCUGAGACAAAAAAAAAAAACAGAAUAAGGCAAGGGUUGAAUCAGUCUGAUUUAGAUAAAUUGAGCUUACUUAAAACCAUGAACUCAUCUGGAACUGGAUUUGAAAACAUCACCAUAAAGGCACAGAUGAUGUAACUUUUCACGAUCUCUGUUCAAAAGUAUUUUCAAGAAUUGGGACCCCAGGUCCAUAUAUCAAUUUACAUCGGUCAUUGAAUGAACCAACUAAUCGAGACGCCACUUCCUUGAAGAACAUAUUUGCCAUCUGUCAUCCCAAAACCCAUUAUGUACUUAGAAAGGCCACCGUAAGAAAAAGGCUCAAAAUAAUAUAUUCUACAAUUCAGAUCAUAUUUAUUAAGCACUCACUUUCAAAAUAAUCCCAUUACGAAAUAAAUAUACAAG